rnacentral:rRNA from 1 species
AUUCUUUCGUAGUGAUGAAAGAUGUAGCCUGCCCAGUGAUUUUAAACGGCUUAAAGGUAGCGUACUCAUUUGUCCUUUAAUUGGGGACUAGUAUGAAAGGCUGAACGAUAUAGUUACUGUUUCAUUUGUGUGAAAUAAAAUUGCUUAUACGUGAAAAUGCGUAUAUUCGACGAAAGGACGAGAAGACCCUGUAGAGCUUAAACAAUAUGUUAAAUAAUGUUUUUUAUUGGGGCAAUACCAGUUGGAGAAUCUGGCGUGAAAAUGCUAUAUUGAAAUCCCUUAAAGGAAAUAAGAAAGUUACCUCAGGGAUAACAGCGUAAUUCUUUCAGAGAGAUCUAAUCAAAGAAAGAGAUUGCGACCUCGAUGUUGGACUAAGACAACUCUUAGGUGUAGAAGCCUUUGAAAGUGAGCCUGUUCGGCUUAAAGUCUUACAUG